rnacentral:rRNA from 1 species
UAGUGGCGAACGGGUGAGUAACACGUGGGUAAUCUGCCCUGCACUCUGGGAUAAGCCUUGGAAACGAGGUCUAAUACCGGAUAUCACCUCUCACCGCAUGGUGGGUGGUUGAAAGUUCCGGCGGUGCAGGAUGAACCCGCGGCCUAUCAGCUUGUUGGUGGGGUAAUGGCCUACCAAGGCGACGACGGGUAGCCGGCCUGAGAGGGUGACCGGCCACACUGGGACUGAGACACGGCCCAGACUCCUACGGGAGGCAGCAGUGGGGAAUAUUGCACAAUGGGCGAAAGCCUGAUGCAGCGACGCCGCGUGAGGGAUGACGGCCUUCGGGUUGUAAACCUCUUUCGCCAGGGACGAAGCGCAAGUGACGGUACCUGGAUAAGAAGCACCGGCUAACUACGUGCCAGCAGCCGCGGUAAUACGUAGGGUGCGAGCGUUGUCCGGAUUUAUUGGGCGUAAAGAGCUCGUAGGCGGUUUGUCGCGUCGGCUGUGAAAUCUGGAGGCUUAACCUUCAGCGUGCAGUCGAUACGGGCAGACUUGAGUUCGGUAGGGGAGACUGGAAUUCCU